rnacentral:misc_RNA from 1 species
GAUGAAGAACGUAGCGAAAUGCGAUAAGUAGUGUGAAUUGCAGAAUUCAGUGAAUCAUAGAAUCUUUGAACGCACAUUGCGCCCUUUGGUAUUCCUUAGGGCAUGCCUGUUCGAGCGUCAUUUAAACCUUCAAGCUCAGCUUGGUGUUGGGUGACUGUCCGCUUCACCGCGGACUCGCCUCAAAAUUAUUGGCGGCCGGUACAUUGGCUUGAGCGCAGCAGAAACGCGAACUCGGGCCCGUCGUAUUGGCUCCCAGAAGCUAUCUUCACAAUUUUGACCUCGGAUCAGGUAGGGAUACCCGCUGAACUUAAGCAUAUCAAUAAGCGGAGGA